rnacentral:rRNA from 1 species
AUGGGGCUUUUCGGUGGUAGCUUCAAGUUUCUGGUGGGAGUGGGGUGCGGUGUCUAUGUAGCUCAGAACUACAACGUUCCAAAUGUCAAGAAGCUGUUCAACACGUAUGUUUUCCUGGCAAAGCACAUUGAGGAAACAUACCGUAAGCCGAAGAAAGACGACAAAGACGAGUGA